CUUUCUAUAACUUUGAGGUACGGUGUUUUUAAAGAGGAUCCAACAGGCAAGUUUCAAUUUUCUAUCCGAUUUGCUAAUUGCAAGCGAAUACCGGAAUAGGCAGCGAUCGUAAGGAGCAACGUCUAACGAAUAAGCUGGCUGCUGUAAGACGUGCCAACCAAGACUCGUCAUGACGUCUUUUAUCCAUAGAAGCCACGUGGGGCCUGACGUUGUCACGCGGUAAUUUCACGGAACGUCCUCCUUCGUAGGUGCCCCGACGAUCGGAUCUCGUGUAAAGACGCGACACUUUAUCGUUUACCCAACAAGUGGCUCAAAGUUACAGAGAGCAACGACGAACGAAUUCCUCGAUCCCACGGCUUGCGCAUCGCACAGCGAGAUCGUUGCUCGCCAAACGGGGUAAAAAGCACGUUCUUCCUACGUUUGCUCACGGACGUUGUCUCUCGAGAGACCGAACCAUUCGAGCACCUUCUGCGAAGGUUCGUGGAAAUUACGAUAUUUACGAAGAGGAGAAGCGAUUGAGAAUGAGGAUGAACAAAAGCGUGACAGUGAGUGGUGAAAUUCUUCGGUAUAUAUAUAUAUUCGUCGAAUAUAUUCGGUAAUAAAUCGUAGCGGUUACUAAACUACGCGUGACGCGUGACGCGUGACACGUGACACGUGACACGUUCGAAACGUAACGUAAUACGUUUGUAAAUUAUAUAGAGACAAUUAUAAUGUUGUCAGUACGAGGAUAGAUCGUAAGAUAUUAACGGAAGAAGAGACCGGAUUGUUGAUUGUUAUAGCGUAGAAGACGUUCCAGGGGCAUCCGAGGUCUCAGAUGUUCAAGGCCUGUUGGAGCCAAUUUUCUUAGCACAGUAUGUUAGUUAGCUAGUAUGCUUUUGCGCUAUAGCUCUGCCAUUUCUCGCAAAAUUAGUUAGAAAUGUAGCCAGCAUACUGGUUGAAAUGUACGUAAUUCUUUUCUUAAUGUAUAUAAACAUGAUGCAAUGUGUUAUACGAUUAUAUGUAUAUAAAUACGAUAUUGACGGAUAUGAAAAUAAAAUGUAUCGUACGAUAGAAAAUGUAGAAAAUAUAUAGAAUAUAUAAUAACGUUAUAAAUAUUUUUGCCUAGUAUGUAUCGGGUGUAGAAAAGAAUAAUGCAAAUUUUUAAGCAAAGUUCAAAGUAUUCGACGUUGCUUUCUAUAACUUUGAGCUAUCUAUCGGGCGAGCGACCAAUUACAUCGAGAAAAAAUGUGUCUUUGGACGAGAUGCGGUGGUUGGGGCACCGACAAAGGAGGACGUUCUGUGAAAUUACCGCGUGACAACGGCAGGCCACACACUGUUUUAUCGUCGUAAUGAGUCUCGCUUGGGAUAUGUUGCAGCAGCCAGCUUAUUCGCUGAACGUUAUUCCUUUCGAUCGUUACCUGUUCCGAUCGACGCCCCCUAUCCAAGGGGCUAACUCGCUUCCAAUUCGGAUCAACACAAAGAUAAAAGAAGUUACUCUGAUAUAUUACUCGCGAAUUGUUUCACGCUUUAAUCGUUUAAUUGUAAGAACACUAAAAAACAAAAUGCUGUUGUUUAAUCUGAAAAUAUCAUUUGUUUUUGAUUAUUGGUUCCUCGAAUGUUUGGACAGGCUACACAGAUUACAGGAAAUGGAGUCGUAUUACUUUCAAAAUAGACAAACGAUAAUAUUAACUCCGUAUAGUAAGGAAAUGUCGAUUAAUUGAAACAAACGAAUGUUUUAGACAUUUAAAUUAUACAUCGAUAGUAAAUAAAUAAAAAGUUCGCAUAAACGCA